UACGUAGGGUGCGAGCGUUGUCCGGAAUUAUUGGGCGUAAAGGGCUCGUAGGCGGUUUGUCGCGUCUGCCGGGAAAGUCCGGGGCUCAACUCCGGAUCUGCGGUGGGUACGGGCAGACUAGAGUGAUGUAGGGGAGACUGGAAUUCCUGGUGUAGCGGUGAAAUGCGCAGAUAUCAGGAGGAACACCGAUGGCGAAGGCAGGUCUCUGGGCAUUAACUGACGCUGAGGAGCGAAAGCAUGGGGAGCGAACAGG
rnacentral:rRNA from 1 species